rnacentral:rRNA from 1 species
AUCACUGGUGUUCGGGUUGUCAUGCCAAUGGCACUGCCCGGUAGCUAAAUGCGGAAGAGAUAAGUGCUGAAAGCAUCUAAGCACGAAACUUGCCCCGAGAUGAGUUCUCCCUGACUCCUUGAGAGUCCUGAAGGAACGUUGAAGACGACGACGUUGAUAGGCCGGAUGUGUAAGCGCAGCGAUGCGUUGAGCUAACCGGUACUAAUGAACCGUGAGGCUUAACCUUACAACGCCGAAGGUGUUU